CCUACGGGUGGCAGCAGUAGGGAAUAUUGCUCAAUGGGGGAAACCCUGAAGCAGCAACGCCGCGUGGAGGAUGAAGGUUUUCGGAUUGUAAACUCCUUUUGUUAGAGAAGAUAAUGACGGUAUCUAACGAAUAAGCACCGGCUAACUCCGUGCCAGCAGCCGCGGUAAUACGGAGGGUGCAAGCGUUACUCGGAAUCACUGGGCGUAAAGAGCGCGUAGGCGGGAUAGCAAGUCAGAUGUGAAAUCCUAGGGCUUAACCAUGGAACUGCAUUUGAAACUGUUAUUCUAGAGUAUGGAAGAGGUAGGUGGAAUUCUUGGUGUAGGGGUAAAAUCCGUAGAGAUCAAGAGGAAUACUCAUUGCGAAGGCGACCUGCUAGAACAUAACUGACGCUGAUGCGCGAAAGCGUGGGGAGCAAACAGGAUUAGAUACCCUUGUAGUC
rnacentral:rRNA from 1 species